rnacentral:rRNA from 1 species
UAGGGAAUCUUCGGCAAUGGACGAAAGUCUGACCGAGCAACGCCGCGUGAGUGAAGAAGGUUUUCGGAUCGUAAAACUCUGUUGUUAGAGAAGAACAAGGACGUUAGUAACUGAACGUCCUCUGACGGUAUCUAACCAGAAAGCCACGGCUAACUACGUACCAGCAGCCGCGGUAAUACGUAGGUGGCAAGCGUUGUCCGGAGUUAUUGGGCGUAAAGCGAGCGCAGGCGGUUUCUUAAGGUUUAUGUGAAAGCCCACGGCUCAACCGGGGAGGGUCAUUGGAAACUGGGAGACUUGAGUGCAGAAGAGGAGAGUGGAAGUCCAUGUGUAGCGGUGAAAUGCGUAGAUAUAUGGAGGAACACCAGUGGCGAAGGCGGCUCUCUGGUCUGUAACUGACGCUGAGGCUCGAAAGCGGGGGGAGCAAACAGG